UACGUAGGGUGCAAGCGUUAAUCGGAAUUACUGGGCGUAAAGCGUGCGCAGGCGGUUGGGCAAGACAGAUGUGAAAUCCCCGGGCUUAACCUGGGAAUGGCAUUUGUGACUGCCCGGCUAGAGUGUGUCAGAGGGGGGUAGAAUUCCACGUGUAGCAGUGAAAUGCGUAGAGAUGUGGAGGAAUACCGAUGGCGAAGGCAGCCCCCUGGGAUAACGACUGACGCUCAUGCACGAAAGCGUGGGGAGCAAACAGG
rnacentral:rRNA from 1 species